rnacentral:lncRNA from 1 species
AAAACCAAAACGAAUAAAAAAGUUGGUGUUUGCUGCUAGUAGUAGUUCUUGGAAAUGAAUGCAGCCCUCCUCAUGAUGCAAGGCAUUUAGUGAGAGCAUUCAAACCACUUGCAAGAGUUUGGUGAGAGGAGGGAGGCUGUGAGAUUUGUUCUGCAUCUGAGCUAAGCUUAAGCUCAAGCUCAAGCUAAGCUAAAGCUUCAUCCCUGUGCUUCCUAGCUGUGUUCUUCAGUUCUCCUCUUCCUAGAUUUGGAGAUUUAGCCAGUCCACUGCAAUUAUUCUUGCUGAAAAGCAGAAAAAGAGGAGAGUCAAAUCUUUAGUUUUUCUUUACAUAUAUUUUUGCUGCUCUCUUCUUUGAUGCUGGGUGCCCUUUUCUUUAAUUUGAGUUCUUGAUCCUGCCAAAAGCAAAAGCCCUCACUUUUAGCUGAGGAGGAUGAGAGGAGAGUCCAAAAGGAAAAGGUGAAGAGUGUCCUCCUUGCAUCUCAAACCCUCCACCCUCCAAACUCCUUCAAAGCAAAAGCUCCAAUUUUUACCACAAAAUCUGCAUCUCCCACUGUUUCCACACUACCAAAUCCAUUUUCCCACCCGGAAACCCUCAAAUUCCUUCAUCUCAGACCUCCAUUGCCAUUCUGCCGGCGUUGUUGAUGCAAGAAAUGCCCAGUUUCUUUCACUUGUGAGCUCUUGAUCCAUAGUUCUCCAAAGAUCCAAUUUUUAGUCCGCCCAAAGCUGCAGUUUUUCCGCAGCUGCUGAUCCGAAAUCUCGGAUUUUUUUUGCUCCACUCGAUGCCUCCUCACUCCACUCGUUGAUCCAAAACUGCCACGAAGAAGAAGCUGCGAUUUCUCCGGCUGCUCGAUCCCUAUGCAUCUCUCCCUAUGGAAGCCCCUCUCCCACUGCGCCGCCGUCUUCCUGGCCAAGAAUCACCGGCGCC